rnacentral:rRNA from 1 species
UACAGAGGGGGCAAGCGUUAUUCGGAAUUAUUGGGCGUAAAGGGCUCGUAGGCGGUUUGUCGCGUCGGGAGUGAAAACCCAGGGCUUAACCCUGGGCUGGCUUCCGAUACGGGCAGACUAGAGGUAUGCAGGGGAGAACGGAAGUUCCUGGUGUAGGCGGUGAAAUGCGCAGAUAUCAGGAGGAACACCAAUGGCGAAGGCAGCUCGCUGGGACGGUACUGACGCGUGAGACGCGAAAGCGUGGGGAGCGAACAGG